AGACGGCCCCUGUGGCAUGCCUGCCCCCCACGGGCUGGAGCUGCCGCUGAAACGGCCCCCUCGUUGCCUCUCCUCGCAGCCUGGUGCUGAAGGUGGCUUUCCUCCGGCAGAGCCGGGUGGUGCGGGUCUCUGGAGAGGACCGGGGCAAUGGCUCUCCUUUGGGUGUCUCACCCCGGCCUCUGGCUGUCCUGCGCACGCAGAGUCACACGCAGCCCCUCGGCUGGCCACCCACGCGUGUGUUUGUGGCUUUGCAGGUGGAGGGGCUGCUUGAGGGCCUCGCAGUUGCGGGAACAGGAUGCGUUGGCCCACCAGCCUUUCUCCCAUUCCGGUAAGGGUCCCGUAACUCGCCCACCCACGCACAUCCCGCCCCGCUGAGGUGCGCCAGGAGAGCAAGAGUCACAGCAGGAGUUCUUCAACAGGGAAACUGUCAGCUGUGCUUUCCUCACAGACACUUCGGCUGCCCGCUUAACGCAAUGAAACUACCUCUGAAAUGCAAUGAGCUAUUUCCUCCCCUCGGAUAAGCUAGAUCCAAACGUCUCCUGGGGCAAAGACACAAUCUUCCAGGGGCUGCCCUUUAUCUUCCGCAGAAACAGUUGGUACACUCUCGCUGAAUCUAAUUCACCCGGUUGUUUUCCAUACCUCUGCUCUAUAAGCAGUUCUGCUAGGGCAGUGGACACGGCACCAGGAGGCUGAGGGACGCUCCCUCCCGGGUGGACAUGUGAAGCUCCUGUUGACUGUAAUGGGAAUCACAAGAAGCCCCAGGCUGAGCUGAGCUCCCGCGGACAGACUCAUUGUUUGAGCCAAGCAAAGAGGGAAGCAAGAGGGGAAAACCACACUGUCAAAAUACACAACGGUUUGUGAGAUGAACAGCUGCAUUACCCUUCAUUUACGCUUGAAGAUAUGGCAGUGAUGAUGGAGUCAGCAAAACUGUGUUUUGUGCGACAACUACUUUUGAAGAGAGCAGGAAUUUAGUUUCAGCUUAACCUAUCCUAUUCUAGGUACACUUAUUGCAUCUUCGGGAGUAUACUGGAACCAGAUAAAUCAGACUUUUCUACAAUAGAGUGGUAUGUCUUGCACUACAGAUCCCGGAGGAGUACAGCAACUGCAGUUUGAUACAGAAACUGUUCUUGUGGCGUUCAAUGGCAUUUGUCCAACAGCAGAACAAAGACAGCGACAGAACUUCCAUUUCACGUUUUUCACCAAAUCACAGCAGACUGAAGUGAAU